rnacentral:rRNA from 1 species
AAAUUGAAGAGUUUGAUCAUGGCUCAGAUUGAACGCUGGCGGCAGGCCUAACACAUGCAAGUCGAACGGUAACAGAAAGCAGCUUGCUGCUUUGCUGACGAGUGGCGGACGGGUGAGUAAUGUCUGGGAAACUGCCUGAUGGAGGGGGAUAACUACUGGAAACGGUGGCUAAUACCGCAUAACGUCGCAAGACCAAAGAGGGGGACCUUCGGGCCUCUUGCCAUCAGAUGUGCCCAGAUGGGAUUAGCUUGUUGGUGAGGUAACGGCUCACCAAGGCGACGAUCCCUAGCUGGUCUGAGAGGAUGACCAGCCACACUGGAACUGAGACACGGUCCAGACUCCUACGGGAGGCAGCAGUGGGGAAUAUUGCACAAUGGGCGCAAGCCUGAUGCAGCCAUGCCGCGUGUAUGAAGAAGGCCUUCGGGUUGUAAAGUACUUUCAGCGGGGAGGAAGGUGUUGCGGUUAAUAACCGCAGCAAUUGACGUUACCCGCAGAAGAAGCACCGGCUAACUCCGUGCCAGCAGCCGCGGUAAUACGGAGGGUGCAAGCGUUAAUCGGAAUUACUGGGCGUAAAGCGCACGCAGGCGGUCUGUCAAGUCGGAUGUGAAAUCCCCGGGCUCAACCUGGGAACUGCAUUCGAAACUGGCAGGCUUGAGUCUUGUAGAGGGGGGUAGAAUUCCAGGUGUAGCGGUGAAAUGCGUAGAGAUCUGGAGGAAUACCGGUGGCGAAGGCGGCCCCCUGGACAAAGACUGACGCUCAGGUGCGAAAGCGUGGGGAGCAAACAGGAUUAGAUACCUUGGUAGUCCACGCCGUAAACGAUGUCUACUUGGAGGUUGUGCCCUUGAGGCGUGGCUUCCGGAGCUAACGCGUUAAGUAGACCGCCUGGGGAGUACGGCCGCAAGGUUAAAACUCAAAUGAAUUGACGGGGGCCCGCACAAGCGGUGGAGCAUGUGGUUUAAUUCGAUGCAACGCGAAGAACCUUACCUGGUCUUGACAUCCACAGAAAUUUGCAGAGAUGCGAAUGUGCCUUCGGGAACUGUGAGACAGGUGCUGCAUGGCUGUCGUCAGC